rnacentral:lncRNA from 1 species
GGGCUUCCUGCAAGCCUGGCGCACCAGCCGGCUCUUGAGGAAUUCCUAGACUGCGGGACCUGAAGACUGGAACCGGGGAUGCGCGGUGCCUGCUGCACGCUGGCAGCGCCGGCCGCCGCCACGCUGCUCCCCAGCCCUGUCUGCACCCCGAAGCCCGCGAGCCGAGCUGCCUCAGCUGGCCACACAGCCCGCGGGCGCGCGGCCUCCAGAGCCCGCCGGGAGGAGCCGCUCGGGCUGCGCGCGGAGGAGGCAGGGAGGCCGGGAGACUCGCCCUGCAGGGCUUGGCCGGCCUUCUCCAAAGAGCUGGGCUGCACCCGGACGCCUGAACCCGCAGCCUUGGGGACGCGAGGAUUGGCGUCUGCUUGGAGUGCAUCCAAGAAGACUGGAGAUCUGGGUGAAGACCGCCGCCUCAUCUGCUAAAAUCACACUGCACUUUUUGUAGAGAAGAUAUGUUUUUUCCUCCUCUGAGAGACAGCAACCGGAUCGAUUAAAAGCGCUGAAAACAUAAGCCAGGCACUGGUCCGCUUACGUACACAAUUCCAAUGAGCCCGAAACACGAAGCACGAGUAAAAAGAUUAGUUUUAGUCCUUACAUUCUUUUCAUGGAGGGAAACAGAGGGAUUUAUCUAGCGGGAUUUUUUUUUCUUUUACCUUAUGAGGAAGAAAAACCAAAUGGAAAAUGAGUAAUGACAUAUAAAGGAAAAAAAGAAGAAGAAAAAACUAUGUUGUUUUUUUGAGAUAGUUUCACUUUGCAGCCCAUGUUUGAUUUGAACUCCGUGGCAGAAAAAUGACUUGAUUUUCUUUUCCUACUGUCCUUCACCGUCACACUCGUUUUGUGCAGUACUGAGUUCGUUAUGCAUGUUUGGCAGCCUUUCUGUCAACUAAGCCAUCGCUAAUUAUUCUAAUUCACCCAAAUGAAAGCAGUCAUAAAAUAAAGCAAAAACAGAACCUUGGAAACAAACUCUGUAGCGUAGUUGAAUUGGCGUGCACCAUUUCUCUAAAGAAGCAAAGAGAAAUACAGAAAAUAGUUUUCCCUCUCCCCUCCUCCUCUCCCCACUCUUUCCCUUGUGCACAGGCUCUAUCAACUAGGAGCUAUACGCCCAGCCUUGUAGUUCUAAAUUAUAAUCGUUGUACAUCAUUUACCUCAUCGGGUGUUAUAUAAUAUCACACUGUUGUAACACUUGAGUUUUUAAAAAAUAGCAAUGCUGUGGUGAAAUGAACUUAGAAAUGCACAGGUCUCUCUUCUCAUUCUAGGACAUCAACUUAGGAAAUUUUGUUGAUUUCCAUGAAUCUUUUGUUGUUGUUAUUGUUGUUUUUCAAGACAGGAUUUCUCUGUGUAGCCCUGGCUGUCCUGGAACUCACUCUGUAUACCAGGCUGGCCUCAAACUCAGAAAUCUGCCUGCCUCUGCCUCCCAAGUGCUGGGAUUAAAGGCAUGCGCCACGACUGCCCAGAAAUUUCCAUGAAGCUUAUAGACCAGGGAAAGGGCAUCAAAUCCCAUUACAGAUAUUUGUGAGCCACCAUGUGGUUGCUGGGAAUUGAACUCAGAACCUCUGGAAGAGCAGUCAGUGCCCUUAAGUGCUGAGCCAUCUUUCCAGUCCCUGUUAUAAAUCCUAAUGUAAAUAUCUGAUAUAUGACCCCUGUGAAAGGACUGUUCACCCACCCCCCGCCAAAGGGGUCACAACCCAUAGGUUGGGAACCUUUGUUUUUGACACUUUCUUCAAUAUAGAAGCAGUACUAUUUUAAUUGGUACUAUUUUGAGUAUUCUUGCUCUGAUCACAAAUUGAACAAGAGUCAUUUCCAACAAGCAACUUCUAUCAGACUUUUAAAAUUUUAUUAUUUACAUUAUAGAUGUUUUACCUGCAUGUAUGUCUGUGUACUAUGUAUGUAUAGACCCUGCAGUGGCUAGAAGAGGACAUCAGAUCUGGGGUUACAAGUUAUUGUGAACGCAAAGUGGGUACUGGGAAUCUAACCCUGGAAGAGUAGCCUGUGCUCUUACCUGCUGAGCUGUCUCUCCAGCCCUCAUAGUUCUUUUUGUUGUUUAACACUGCUUCUUGUAAUAGAGUCUUACUACAUGGUGUUAGUUGUCUUGAAGCUUUCCAUGUAGACCAUGCUAGCUUCAAAAUUGCAGUGAUCGACCUGCCUCUGCUUCUGGAGGGCUAGAAUUACAAUCACAGCACACCUUUACAAAAUGUUCUCUUUCUCUCUAUACUUCUCUGAUCCCCACUCUUCAAAGUGGGGUAGCUUUGAUGAACCACUUACUGUGUUGCAUACAGUCAGGUGCCAUAUAGUUGAGUCUUAUUCACAAUCUGGUAGCACUUUAAUAGUAGAAACUGUAUUAUGUCCAGUCUACUUUCUAUAAUGUCACUUGGCAAGUGACAGUGUACUUAGUAGUCAAUAUGUAUCCAUUGAAAUGAAUGCAAUCCAGUUUGUAUUUGACAGUAGCCUGUCGUCCUUGUUCUCAUUAUAAACAGUUUAGACUGUAGAGAGACCAUAUUUGCUCUCUAGCCUAGGUAAACGGUACCCUGCUUCUGCAGUUCUUCUUGCAGCUGAUCCGCCUGACCAAGUCGCUUUGCGGGGGGUCGGCUCCUGCAGCCUCCAGUUAGCAUCUCAAAGUGACUCAGUGGAAGGCUAGGUAAAGCCGCCACAGGAAAUUGCCCUCCUCUAAGUGGAGAGGGACUUAUGUCGGCCCUUUGUUCUUAGUACUUGUGUGACUCUCAGAAACUGUGUUCACAUUGGGGGGGGGGGGGGGACGACACUCACUGCAGGUCUGCACAUAAAUUCAGUCAUAAAUUGAAUAAGAGGUUAUAACAGAGAAUGCCUACGUGCCUAUGCACUAGGAGCAAUUCUCUGGCUUAACUUUCACCGUUUGUUACCAGCUUGCAGGGUCAUGAAAAGUUUUAGACGAUAACUAAGCCAUCUGUGAAGUCUUGUUUAGAUAAACUCAGUCAAUAUCUUAUCUCUUGUUUUUGCACCUGGCGUCCUGUGUUGUAUAUAUUCUUUUUAACCUUCCGUUAAUGGCUUCUGUAACCCCUUGGAAUGCGCCCUAAGUAUUAGAAGUCUGCUGUUAUCUCAGAAGCAAUUAAGCAGUCAUUUUAUAAAAAGAACCUGAAUGUCUCUGUGGGUAUUGCCAUUUGGAAACAAUGAUAACCCUUGCUUGCUGGAUGUUUCUGCAGAAUAAAAGCUCUUUGUCUUUGC